CGCCAGACUCCUACGGGAGGCAGCAGUGGGGAAUAUUGCACAAUGGGCGAAAGCCUGAUGCAGCGACGCCGCGUGAAGGAUGAAGUAUUUCGGUAUGUAAACUUCUAUCAGCAGGGAAGAAAAUGACGGUACCUGACUAAGAAGCCCCGGCUAACUACGUGCCAGCAGCCGCGGUAAUACGUAGGGGGCAAGCGUUAUCCGGAUUUACUGGGUGUAAAGGGAGCGUAGACGGUUAUGCAAGUCUGGAGUGAAAGGCGGGGGCUCAACCCCCGGACUGCUCUGGAAACUGUAGAACUAGAGUGCAGGAGGGGUAAGUGGAAUUCCUAGUGUAGCGGUGAAAUGCGUAGAUAUUAGGAGGAACACCAGUGGCGAAGGCGACUUUCUGGACUGUACCUGACGCUGAGGCGCGAAAGCGUGGUUAGCGAACGGGAUUAGAUACCCGGGUAC
rnacentral:rRNA from 1 species